ACCUAUUGUGUGCAAUGGGAAUGAAGAAGAUCAUGAGACCACAUGCUACUGCUCAUCUAACAAACCCAAGGACUGCAAUUCAUUGCCCUCUACCAUUUUCUCCCUGCUGGGAAUGAAAUUCUAGAUUUAGACCCAUUGAAACUUAUCUGAUUUUAUAUUGAAUAUUGAUAUGCACAUGCAUCUCUUGUUGGUGGUAACUCUUUCACAUUGGUACUGUGUUAUGUAUG